CAGUCGCCGCGGUAAUACGUAGGGUGCGAGCGUUAAUCGGGAUUACUGGGCGUAAAGGGCGUGUAGGCGGCCUGGGGCGUCCCAUGUGAAAGGCCACGGCUCAACCGUGGAGGAGCGUGGGAUACGCUCAGGCUAGAGGGUGGGAGAGGGUGGUGGAAUUCCCGGAGUAGCAGUGAAAUGCGUGGAGAUCAAGAGGAACACUCGUGGCGAAAGCGAGCUACUGGACAAUAUCUGACGCUGAGGCUCGAAGGCCAGGGUAGCGAAAGGGAUUAGAUACCCGUGUAGUCCCUGUCUCUUAUAC
rnacentral:rRNA from 1 species